GGUUUGUUCCAAAUGGCAGUCCAUAACCACUCCGUAGUACCGUAGGCUAGCUACCUUGUCUUCGGAUUGUUGAUAUAGGUCGUUUUCAGUCGUUCCCCGGUGCCGUAGCUCUGUCAUUUCUGCAACUCGUGUCCCAGCUACUACAGAGGCUUUCAACACGCUUCGCAUUCUCUCAACCAGCUUCACGAGGCAGUCACCUGGAAUGCAUUUCAAUUAACAGCUGAUUGUUGAGACCCAGAGAAACAGAGGAGAAGG